AAUAAUUUCCUAACUGAUUUUCUUGCCUCCUAUCUGUCCCCACCACCAACAUAGACUUAAGAAUGUCACUCUCUUGACAAAACAAGCCAACAUCCUCUAUCCUCUGUCCCACUCCCAAACCUGCAGUAACUUUCCUGUGCAAUUGUAAUACAGUGUAAACUUUCAUAAGGAUGGGGAGUGGCCAAGAUGGCUGACCAGAAGCAGGUAAUGUACAUGGCUCUCACGGAGAGGAACAGAAGGGACGAGUAGAUACAACACCUUCAACUGAAACAUCCGGGUACUCGCAUUGGGAUUAAUCAAGGAAACAACCUGACCCACAGAGAACAAGGAAAAGCAAGACAGGACAACAGCCCACCUGGGAGCAACAGGGAACCAGGGGAUCUUCCCCUGCCCAGGGAAGUGGUGGGACCUCCCAAC
rnacentral:lncRNA from 10 species